UACAGAGGGGGCAAGCGUUAUUCGGAAUUAUUGGGCGUAAAGAGCUCGUAGGCGGUGUGUCGCGUCGGCCGUGAAAACUUGCAGCUUAACUGUGGGCGUGCGGUCGAUACGGGCAUCACUGGAGUUCGGCAGGGGAGACUGGAAUUCCUGGUGUAGCGGUGGAAUGCGCAGAUAUCAGGAGGAACACCGGUGGCGAAGGCGGGAUCCUGGGCCAGUACUGACGCUGAGGAGCGAAAGCGUGGGGAGCAAACAGG
rnacentral:rRNA from 1 species